rnacentral:rRNA from 1 species
UACGAAGGGGGCUAGCGUUGCUCGGAAUUACUGGGCGUAAAGCGCACGUAGGCGGUCUUUUAAGUCGGGGGUGAAAUCCUGGAGCUCAACUCCAGAACUGCCUUCGAUACUGAAAGACCUGAGUCCGGGAGAGGUGAGUGGAACUGCGAGUGUAGAGGUGAAAUUCGUAGAUAUUCGCAAGAACACCAGUGGCGAAGGCGGCUCACUGGCCCGGUACUGACGCUGAGGUGCGAAAGCGUGGGGAGCAAACAGG